CCCAAACCAAUAAAGUUUUCUUUAUUGGGGUUGCGGACAUAUCAUAACGAAGAGGUAUCGUAAUUGAAGAGGUUUGGAAAGACCCACCACAGAAGGUAAUAGUCCUGUAUGUUAAACGAGAAGACUUCAGAUAUGAUCCAGAGUACCACGGGACACGUGAAACCCUGUGGGAAGCAGGAGGGACCACCCUCCAAGGCUAAAUACUACCUAGUGACCGAUAGCGUAUAGUACCGUGAGGGAAAAGGGAAAAGAACCACGGGAGGGGAGUGAAAUAGAACCUGAAACCCUGCACGUACAAGCUGUGAAAGCACAUUUCUUGUGUGACCGCGUACUUUUUGUAGAACGGGCCAACGAGUUACGUUAAGUAGCAAGGUUAAGCACUUAAGGUGUGGAGCCGUAGCGAAAGCGAGUUUUAACUGAGCGUUCAGUUACU
rnacentral:rRNA from 1 species